GGCGGCGUGCCUAAUACAUGCAAGUCGAACGCUUUUUCUUUCACCGGAACUUGCUCCACCGAAAGAAAAAGAGUGGCGAACGGGUGAGUAACACGUGGGUAACCUGCCCAUCAGAAGGGGAUAACACUUGGAAACAGGUGCUAAUACCGUAUAACACUAUUUUCCGCAUGGAAGAAAGUUGAAAGGCGCUUUUGCGUCACUGAUGGAUGGACCCGCGGUGCAUUAGCUAGUUGGUGAGGUAACGGCUCACCAAGGCAACGAUGCAUAGCCGACCUGAGAGGGUGAUCGGCCACACUGGGACUGAGACACGGCCCAGACUCCUACGGGAGGCAGCAGUAGGGAAUCUUCGGCAAUGGACGAAAGUCUGACCGAGCAAACGCCGCGUGAGUGAAGAAGGUUUUUCGGA
rnacentral:rRNA from 1 species